rnacentral:rRNA from 1 species
UGCGGCGACGCCGCGUGAAGGAAGAAGUAUCUCGGUAUGUAAACUUCUAUCAGCAGGGAAGAUAGUGACGGUACCUGACUAAGAAGCCCCGGCUAACUACGUGCC